UUAGUUGGUUUGUUGGUGAAUUGAAUAUGUAUUAGUCACGAUGGUUUUCUUGUUCAUAGCGUCAGUGUGUUGUGUGACGAUUUCUAGAUCUGUAGCCGUAGUUUUGUGCUAAUUUCAUAUGUGUGUAGUAUGGGAGAGAUAUUCCAGGUGUUUAAUAACUUGGGGGCAUAGUCCUAGCGUGACGCUCCUCAUGUGUUCGGUGAUACACGUAAACCAGACAGCGUCGUUGAUUUCAUCAUCUCAAGUCAAAUUUAGUUUUGGUGUGCCAUGAAGUAAUCUCCUGAUCUAUAAGGGUUUCCUGUGUACUGAUCCUCCACAACCUUUAGGGAAGUAUGGGUCGAAAGUGACUAAAUUGGUUCUAUAUGUUAUAAGUGGUCUAUCGGUGAUGUGUAGGUUGGGUUUAAUGUCUUAAGCAACUCACCGAUAAGCUCUAUUACUAUUGAUUACAUUACAUGUAUUGAUUUUAUGAAGCUGAAGUUCUGUCUUAGUCCUCGUUAUCUUCUAAUGUUUGGUUUAGUUCUAGAUUGCUUAUGACUUUAUUUUAGUCUAGCCGAGUAUGACUACUCUUUCGUUUAUUACACAAGUUCCUUAGUUAAUUGCUAGGCAAGUGUGAUGAUAUGUUGUAUGAAAUAUGCUUGGUGAACGCAUAUGCAUUGAUAUGAUUGUGUUAAUAAACCAUGAAGGGUAGAGUUUUGUUUAUGGAUAAAUUACUUAUACAAAGAACAUGUUAACACUUGCUGUUUGGACUGCAGGUAUCAUUUUAGUUACGUAGGUAAUUGAGUGAAGUAAACCAUGUUUUAUGUAAACGUGUUAUAUAGAAAAGUUAUAGAUAACUACUUUAUCUUGCUGGUGCUAAAAUUUCAUGACCAUAGGUCUAGUAGUUUAAAAGAUAUGAUUUUCUUAAGUCCAGUUUCAGAAUCUGUCUAAAUUCUGUACAUGUUUCAAAAAUUGGAUUGUUUGGCUAAGUUAAAUUGAGAAUCAGUCAUUAGUAAUUAUAGGAGAAUUGUAGUACUUUCCUUAACCUUUCCAACAAAUUUUGGAUCACCCUUUUUGGUGAUCUAUAAAUUAAGUUACAACUGUUUGAGUUAGGAUCUCUGAAUCUGUCCCAAUUUGGACAGCAGAGCCUUUCUCAUGUUUUCUGACUUUGCUAUAUAUUAAAUUAACCUAGGAUGUUCAUAAAUGAAUUGUAGAUAAUUCUAUUAUCUUUCUAAAAAGUCUAGGAUCACCUGAUUUGGAUGUCUGAAACUCCAGUUAUGAUUUUUUGAAGUAAGUAGCCGAAUUCUGUCCAAAUCUGGACAGAAUUUACGUUUAGCAUUGUUUGACCAUUCUAAGUGUCAAGUCUCACUGUGAUGAUAAUACAAAAGUUGUAAAGGACUUUAUAAGCUUUCCAAAAAGUCUUAGUUUACUAUUUUUGGAUGAAGAUUGUGUAAGUUAUGAAUAAAACAACUAGCUACUGUUCUGCUGUCCAAAAUCAGCAAUGAUUAAAAUGAUUACUUGGAGUUUCUUUUGUAAGGAUACCUAUAUUUGGUUAGUUCUUGAUUGGUUGAUUGGUAGUCUUGUGGUUUUAAGUGUUACGUAAGUUCCUUGUAAUUUUGUAAUAAAGUUUAGGUUAUAAAUACCUGUGUUUCAUAAAAGUUGAGUAUGAUUAACUCCAAGUGUGUGAUUGUUAUGGGGUCAAAGUUAGCUAGUGUUUGCUCAUAUAAAUAUGACUACUCUUUCGUUUUUUACACAAGUUCCUUAGUUAAUUGCUACACAAGUUCCUUAGUGAAUUUUCAAAGAAGUUCUGAACUGUUCAGAGUUCCUUGUUUGUUCACUAACCAUCCUCUUUGUCAAUCUUCUUUGAAAAUUCGCUUUCCUCAUAGGCUUCCAUUUGUUAGUAAAUCUGCACUUUUAGGAGACUCGGAGUUCGUCCUAGAUGCAAAAGUACCUUGCUGGUUAUGGAGAGGUCAGCUGAAGGUUGGAGCAGGAUCAGGUGGUGUUUUGGAGGUAGAUUUAAACAUUUUGGAGGUGGAUUGAAGCUUUGACUGGACUGAAGUUUAUUGCAUCUGGAGAACAUCAUUUGGCUCUACCUCUAUUUUAUUGGUACUCUUAAAUUUCUUGUUCCUUACACAUUUGGGAUGGUGAUUCUCUACUUGUACAGCAACUGGAUUGUAUGGACGGAGGAGCCUGAGUUAGAUUCUGGUUCUGCAUGAGCAAUAAGUUAUAAACUGUUCAGGAUUCCCUCGUAGGCUUUUCAUGUUCUGGUACUGGAUGUGCAGUUUUGGGAGGCAUUGCUACAGAGAUAGGACUUCUAGCUGAAAUUGUUGCCCAUUGAUCACGCUUUAUCCUAUUCCUAAGUUAUUUGAUGAAUGUUCAUGCUGUUUGUGUUCUCAGUUGUCACUAUCAAAUAGGUAGUUAUCCGAGGGUGGUCUCAUUGACUGCAGAUCUCUAGGUGAUAGCUGGGCAUGAAGGAACCAGUUUGCAUCUAUUCAGACCUACAACCUUCAACUUGCAUUGUGUUUGUUCAGUGUCUUCUACCUUGAAGUAGUUAAUGAUUAGGGUCAUUAUUGCAGGUCUUACUGCUAUUUUUUGCUUGGGCUUGUCAUCGUGGAUUAUGUGUUGGGGGUACUAACUUAUCCAAUUUACUAAUUCUUGUAUAUGAACCAUGAUACUUGUGAGACUGCUUCGAACCUGUGACAUGGUGACUUAGAGCAACUCUCGCUAUUGUACCAGCCCUGCUUCAAACCCGUGACAUGGUGACUUGAGACCUCUCUCGCUAUUGUACCAGGCCAGUCCUUUACGAACCAUAAUACUAUGUUAAUAUAAUAUUCAGAUACUUCUAAUUUAAUCUGCAGUUGUAGAAGGUAAUGAGCAUGUUUUAACUUCGGAGAUUCAACCAGAGAUAGCUAGAACUACAACACUACAACUUUCAUUUAAUCAAGCUUGUUUCUGCUUUAUCUUGCUAUGCUCUGACCAAAGCUUUAAUUCUUGUGCUACUGGUAUUUCUGUGUUCUGCAGAUCAUUUAGCUCAAGUAAUUGGUAGUUCAAUUGUGAUAAGUAGGCUGAGCAAAUUGUACUGCUAGUGUAGUUUGUUUUGUUUGAUUUGUGUGGGCACACUUGAAAUUGGCGUGAGUCUAGUAACAUAAGUUGUGUCAUUUUGCUCAGAAGCCUUACAUAUGAGUUCUUUCUGGUUCAUCUGAUGUCCACACUGAGUUUAUCUGAUGUCCACACUCUGAGUUUAUCUGAUGUCCACACACUGAGUUUUGGCAAUUAAUUUGCCUGUUUAGAAGCAGAGUUCUAGAACCUAAACUGUCUGUCUGAAGCAGAGCUCUAGAUCCUGAACUGUCUGUCUGAUUGGUUGCUGCUUACUUUGUGCUGCACUGAAAUUGGUAGUGGUGUCUGUCUAGCCCAUUGGAAGUUUUCUUCUCAUCUCUGUUUCGUUACUGCACAGGGGAACUUGGUACAGCCAUCCAUGGUAUCAGAAUAUGACCUGGGAGGAGAAGGGGACCUGUUCAAAGCUCCAGAAGCCAUCAUCGAGGAACCGCUGCUCCUGAACUGUCUGUCUGAUUCUGUUCAUUUGUUGUUGUGUAGGCUGGGCUUGUGCCAAGCUUGAAUCCUCUUGUGAAGGAGUUUCUCAAUGCUGCUGAUGACAAGCGGAAGGAAGUCCUCUCUAAAAUAGAAGAGGAUGUUGCUAAGCUCAGCGGUUCUGCAGCCAACUAAGAAGCUACAAGUGAAUGCCGAGGAGAGCAGCGAUGACUUGGCUAACCCACCGAAGGUAGAGGAGAAGCUUGGUGCUGUCCCUCAUGGCCUGUCCACCGACUCUGAGGUUGCCCAGAGGGAAGCCGAGUCUAUCUCUAGGAAGACUCUCAGGAGCUCAGCCGAGAAGUUUGAGUUCCAAGCUGAGGUUUCCAGACUCAUGGACAUCAUCAUCAACUCACUCUACAGCAACAAGGAUAUCUUCCUGAGGGAGCUCAUAUCUAAUGCCUCUGAUGCUGGAUAAGAUUAGGUUCCUUUCCCUUACUGAUAAGGAAGUUCUGGGUGAAGGGGACACUGCAAAGCUUGAGAUUCAGAUUAAGUUGGACAAAGAGAAGAAAAUCCUCUCCAUUCGGGAUAGGGGUAUUGGUAUGACCAAGGAAGAUCUUAUUAAGAACCUUGGAACGAUUGCUAAAUCUGGCACUUCAGGAACAGGAGCUGCUCGAGUCUCUUGUCGAAGCUGAUACGAGAAGGCAGGAAAGAGCUAAAAAGAUGGAAGAAAAGAAAGUGUAUCUGCAACUAUACGAAGCAAUGGAGGCGUUGGUCAAGAUCAAUCUGGAGACGAACAAGAUCAUGGACUUCAUCAAGUUUGACGUCGGCAACGUGGUCAUGGUGACUGGCGGGAGGAACACCGGGCGUGUAGGAGUCAUCAAGAACAGGGAGAAGCACAAGGGCAGCUUUGAGACCAUCCACGUGCUGCUUGGAGCUUUUUGCUAUGUCUAGUUUUCUCCUAUUUGUUGUACAGGAAAACAUAGAAUAGAAUUCAAAUUUGGUGGUCGCAAAAGUGUGGAGACUUUAAUUCAUAUAAAGUUAGGCUUAACAUUAGUGCAAACAGUUGUAUUUUAGUUUAGAUUUAGAGUACACUUAUGUAUGCAUUGUUUGACAAUGUUUAUUUAUGAUAUAUUAAAUGGUACUUAUUUAUAUUAUAUUAA